GGUCACUUUAUUUUAGUUCCUUGCUUCCUCUGGACGACCGAGCCAUUUGUGGAAGCUGAAUAAUCCGUAAGGAGCAAACAUG
rnacentral:ncRNA from 1 species